rnacentral:lncRNA from 1 species
CAUCAAACAAACCAAAUGGAAGCACCUUCUCCAUAGUGAUUGGCUAGUAUUCUUCAAACAUGGCAACGGCAGCAAGCACACAGGGAUAGGCAGGGGGAGGUGACCAACUGCUUUCUGACUGCAUUGAAAGUCCACUCCACAGAAGGUGAUACAUACCUGGUAACUAUAAAUCUAGCCACGAGGCCAAGUUUGGAGAGCUUACAGACCCUGGGGAUGAACCUACUAUGACUACUUUGCUAAAUGGGCAUGGUAUAAAACUGCCCUGGGACUUAUCUGCUAAUAGAUUGGCAGCUUUGAGAAGUAAUGGACAGUUGAAGGUUUCUGAGGAAGGGAUAAUCAGUUUCCUUAAAAGGAGCUGCUCUUCACAAGUCAACUGCAAUCCAGAUGGUCCCACAGACAGAAUGUCAAAGGGUUACUGAAUUAACCCAGAAAAAGGACAUGACAUGAUAAGGGGUGUAGGGAAGUGAGAAUGGAUCUGAAGAGCUGAGGAUGGAUGGGGAGCCAGAGAAUGGGGAGAUGUGAAGCAAAAAAUGUCUACUUGAUCUGACAUGGACACUGCACUCAUGGACUCGAUGAAGCUGUGGCUGCUUACAUAAGACCCCAAAUGAUCCAGGCACUCAAUACUCCAUCAUGGCUAGAGGAGGGGUCUACAACAGACCA